rnacentral:rRNA from 1 species
UGGGGAAUAUUGGGCAAUGGAGGGAACUCUGACCCAGCAACGCCGCGUGAGUGAAGAAGGUUUUCGGAUUGUAAAACUCUUUAAGCGGGGACGAAGAAAGUGACUGUACCCGCAGAAUAAGCAUCGGCUAACUACGUGCCAGCAGCCGCGGUAAUACGUAGGAUGCAAGCGUUAUCCGGAAUGACUGGGCGUAAAGGGUGCGUAGGUGGUUUGCCAAGUUGGCAGCGUAAUUCCGUGGCUUAACCGCGGAACUACUGCCAAAACUGGUAGGCUUGAGUGCGGCAGGGGUAUGUGGAAUUCCUAGUGUAGCGGUGGAAUGCGUAGAUAUUAGGAGGAACACCGGUGGCGAAAGCGACAUACUGGGCCGUAACUGACACUGAGGCACGAAAGCGUGGGGAGCAAACAGG